AUUGAACGCUGGCGGCAGGCCUAACACAUGCAAGUCGAGCGGAUGAAGGGAGCUUGCUCCUGGAUUCAGCGGCGGACGGGUGAGUAAUGCCUAGGAAUCUGCCUGGUAGUGGGGGAUAACGUCCGGAAACGGGCGCUAAUACCGCAUACGUCCUGAGGGAGAAAGUGGGGGAUCUUCGGACCUCACGCUAUCAGAUGAGCCUAGGUCGGAUUAGCUAGUUGGUGGGGUAAAGGCCUACCACGGCGACGAUCCGUAACUGGUCUGAGAGGAUGAUCAGUCACACUGGAACUGAGACACGGUCCAGACUCCUACGGGAGGCAGUAGUGGGGAAUAUUGGACGAUGGGCGAAAGCCUGAUCCAGCCAUGCCGCGUGUGUGAAGAAGGUCUUCGGAUUGUAAAGCACUUUAAGUUGGGAGGAAGGGCAGUAAGUUAAUACCUUGCUGUUUUGACGUUACCAGCAGAAUAAGCACCGGCUAACUUCGUG
rnacentral:rRNA from 1 species